rnacentral:rRNA from 1 species
UACGUAGGGUGCGAGCGUUGUCCGGAAUUAUUGGGCGUAAAGAGCUUGUAGGCGGUUUGUCGCGUCUGCUGUGAAAUCUCAAGGCUCAACCUUGAGCUUGCAGUGGGUACGGGCAGACUAGAGUGUGGUAGGGGAGACUGGAAUUCCUGGUGUAGCGGUGAAAUGCGUAGAUAUCUGGAGGAACACCGGUGGCGAAGGCGGCAUCCUGGACCGGCAUUGACGCUGAGGAGCGAAAAGCCAGGGGAGCAAACGGG